rnacentral:rRNA from 1 species
GACGAACGCUGGCGGCGUGCUUAACACAUGCAAGUCGAACGAUGAACUUGGAGCUUGCUCUGGGGGAUUAGUGGCGAACGGGUGAGUAACACGUGAGUAACCUGCCCUGGACUCUGGGAU